rnacentral:rRNA from 1 species
UACGUAGGGUGCAAGCGUUAAUCGGAAUUACUGGGCGUAAAGCGUGCGCAGGCGGUUUUGUAAGUCUGACGUGAAAGCCCCGGGCUUAACCUGGGAAUUGCGUUGGAGACUGCAAGGCUUGAAUCUGGCAGAGGGGGGGUAGAAUUCCACGUGUAGCAGUGAAAUGCGUAGAGAUGUGGAGGAACACCGAUGGCGAAGGCAGCCCCCCUGGGUCAAGAUUGACGCUCAUGCACGGAAAGCGUGGGGAGCAAACAGGA